UGUGAAACAUUUGUACAGAGUUUGUGAAAAGAAAACUAUGAUUCUAAAUACAAUUUAGCAAAAAUAUUUUGUUAUUUCUUGAAAAAUAAUGGAACAUAUUAAAUUUGUUUAUACAAGUUAACAUUAUUAGUGUCUAUUGUGGAUAAAUGAUGCAGGGAUUGAUGGAAAUAAACAAUUCAUUGACGUGGGUUUUUAGUGGAACUUUUAGAUGCAAUUGAACAAACAACUGUACUGCAAAAAUAGUAGCCACAUGAAAGAUAGAAAAGUGUAAAUUGGCGUUUUCUUGAACAUGUUUAUUUUAUGUAGAUCAGAAUAUAGUAAGAUUCUCGUAUAUAAAGAGCUCAAGACGACUGCAGUCAAAUUCUUUUUCCUUAAAAUGAGAGUUGUUAUUGCUUUACUUAUUGAAUUUAAAUAGAAACUAUUGGCCAUACAAUUCUAACAGAAACUGAAGGUGGAUAUAACGAAUUCGAUAAGAUUACAAAGUAAAUCUACAGUUAAUUUAUUGAAAAUAUUUAAAAAAUAUCAAAUUAACUGAAAAUACACAAAAUAAGUAGUAUAAUAAAAUAUUUAUUACGCUAAUG